GAUGAACGCUGGCGGCGUGCUUAACACAUGCAAGUCGAACGAUGAAGCCCAGCUUGCUGGGUGGAUUAGUGGCGAACGGGUGAGUAACACGUGAGUAACCUGCCCUUUACUCUGGGAUAAGCCUGGGAAACUGGGUCUAAUACUGGAUAUGACUUCUCAUCGCAUGGUGGGGGGUGGAAAGAUUUAUUGGUCUUGGAUGGACUCGCGGCCUAUCAGCUUGUUGGUGAGGUAAUGGCUCACCAAGGCGACGACGGGUAGCCGGCCUGAGAGGGUGACCGGCCACACUGGGACUGAGACACGGCCCAGACUCCUACGGGAGGCAGCAGUGGGGAAUAUUGCACAAUGGGCGCAAGCCUGAUGCAGCGACGCCGCGUGAGGGAUGACGGCCUUCGGGUUGUAAACCUCUUUCAGUAGGGAAGAAGCGAGAGUGACGGUACCUGCAGAAGAAGCGCCGGCUAACUACGUG
rnacentral:rRNA from 1 species